AGCAGCGCCGCAGUUUACACCGCAAGAGGAUGCAGCGCAGCAACGGUCGUAGCGGCUAGCUGAUAAAGCAGAGUUGCGCGUCCUCGAAUACGCCGCCGCAGUCUCAGCAAACGGGCUCUCGAGACUUCCAAACACUCCAUCACACAAGUAUGAGCACCUUUGCUAUAUCCAGGGGCGCCUUCCCUAAACAUGUAAGAAGACCUGCUGAAGAAGCUAGCCCGGUAGCCUGUUUUCGUACACAAGGAGCCCACAAGAAUUUUAGUGCCUUCAGUGCGCCAAAAAGCCAAGGUGAAAUUUGAAAUGGAGGGAGGACGGAAUCUGUUUGGAAUCGUGGAGAGGCAGACGCACCAUACCCGAGAAAGCGCAUGGAGAACAUGGGAAGAAGUCCAGCCUUAUUCGCUUUGCAUACUCUUUAGGCUACCACCGUGAGCACCUAGA